rnacentral:misc_RNA from 1 species
GAUGAAGAACGUAGUGAAAUGCGAUAAGUAAUGUGAAUUGCAGAAUUCAGUGAAUCAUCGAAUCUUUGAACGCACAUUGCGCCCCCUGGUAUUCUGGCGGGCAUGCCUGUUCGAGCGUCAUUACAACCCUCAGGCCCCCGGGCCUGGCGUUGGGGAUCGGCGGAGCCCCCCGUGGGCACACGCCGUCCCCCAAAUGCAGUGGCGGUCCCGCCGCAGCUUCCAUCGCGUAGUAGCUAACACCUCGCGACUGGAGAGCGGCGCGGCCACGCCGUAAAACACCCAACUCUUCUGAAGUUGACCUCGAAUCAGGUAGGAAUACCCGCUGAACUUAAGCAUAUCAAUAAGCGGAGGA